AGGAACCGGCGAGUCAGAAUGUCUGAGAAGAUCAAGUGUGCUUCUCCACUGAUGAUGAUGAGCUGGAUACCAGCUUAUGUGCUAAUUUCUUUCAAGGACAGGACCAGAUGUGUUUGGAGUUGAGGACAAUACUGAAGAC